rnacentral:rRNA from 1 species
GAGUUUGAUCAUGGCUCAGGAUGAACGCUAGCGACAGGCUUAACACAUGCAAGUCGAGGGGCAGCGGGGGCGAAGCUUGCUUCGCCUGCCGGCGACCGGCGCACGGGUGAGUAACACGUAUGCGACCUGCCCCCCGCAGGGGGAUAACCGGGAGAAAUCCCGACUAAUACCGCGUAACGCCGCGGGGCUGCAUGGCCCCGCGGCCAAAGGAAGCGAUUCCGGCGGGGGAUGGGCAUGCGGCGCAUUAGCUAGUCGGCGGGGUAACGGCCCACCGAGGCGACGAUGCGUAGGGGUUCUGAGAGGAAGGUCCCCCACACUGGUACUGAGACACGGACCAGACUCCUACGGGAGGCAGCAGUGAGGAAUAUUGGUCAAUGGGCGGGAGCCUGAACCAGCCAAGUCGCGUGAGGGAAGACGGUCCUACGGAUUGUAAACCUCUUUUGCCGGGGAGCAACGGGGUCCUUGCGAGGGCCCAAUGAGAGUACCCGGAGAAAAAGCAUCGGCUAACUCCGUGCCAGCAGCCGCGGUAAUACGGAGGAUGCGAGCGUUAUCCGGAUUUAUUGGGUUUAAAGGGUGCGUAGGCGGGCUGUUAAGUCAGCGGUCAAAUGUCGGGGCUCAACCCCGGCCUGCCGUUGAAACUGGCGGCCUCGAGUGGGCGAGAAGUAUGCGGAAUGCGUGGUGUAGCGGUGAAAUGCAUAGAUAUCACGCAGAACUCCGAUUGCGAAGGCAGCAUACCGGCGCCCUACUGACGCUGAGGCACGAAAGCGUGGGUAUCGAACAGGAUUAGAUACCCUGGUAGUCCACGCAGUAAACGAUGAAUGCUAGCUGUCCGGUUCUACGGGACUGGGUGGCACAGCGAAAGCGUUAAGCAUUCCACCUGGGGAGUACGCCGGCAACGGUGAAACUCAAAGGAAUUGACGG